CCUUCGCCGUCGUGCGAGUCUCCCCGUUGCGGCCUCCUCGAUCCUGUACGCCGUCGGCCUCGAUCCUGUAUUUUUUCAUUCCUCUUGUUAGAUCCAGCUGCUACAGGCACACAUCAACCAUAAGACAGAUGAGCCAGUGGAAGGUAAUGAUACCGUUGCUAGAUCGAGCUGCUCCUCGCCUCCUCCCCCUUCUGUGACUUACCUACCCCUCCUGAUAUUGCUUACUCCGUAUUAGAUUUCUCGUCGCUCUCUGUUGCUUGCUUAUAUCACAUCUAUCCCUCUCCCGUGUUUGUAUGGAGUAGUAGCAAAUCUUGUUUUGUGCGUGCUAAUUGCUAAGCUUUUGGGUCAAGUAGUAAUUUCAGACCAUAUAUACUUCACGUUUAUUAGAUUAUUUUUACAGCAAUUGCUGAAGAUGCACAAGUAUUACUCUGCCAUUCAUAUAUUUAGGGGGCAGUUUACUUGUACAGGUAUUUGUAGCCUUUUCAUUCUUUUCAAUCGGUUUGGAUUUAAGGUGACGUUUGAAUCUCUUUUCAUGUACCAGGUAUUCACAAACUAAUGUAAUAGAGGAUUGUUCUACAACUUUUUUUUUUUGCCGGUUUUGAUUUAUACACUGAUUUUAAUUUUUAAAGACCAGUGGCUGCAGGGUUACUGUCAGCUAAUAAAUUUGAUUCAUGCAAUGAGGAUAAAGACCAGUGGUUGUGGGGUUACUGUGGUACGGUAUUUGGAACAUGAAACUGGAUUGAUGAACUACUUAUUUUGUUCCUGAUGUGAUAUAAUAUUGGGUGUGUGAAGGCUGAUAGUUUGCUUGUUUGUUUGAUAAAUUUGGUUGUAUCCUUCAUUAGAUGGUUCUUGAAUUGUUAUCGGACAAUGAUUACUAUGGUGUCAUACUACAAUUAAAUAUAUUCAGUUCACCGGUCCAGUACAGCCUUACAGAAGAUAAUGUGAACAUAUAGCAUGCAAGUGGUUAGGCUAAGUGCAAGUGGUAAUCUGUAAGAGAUAGGAAUUAUAUAAGGAGAAUAGUGAGAAGGGUGUCUACUGAUCCUAUCCAGAAUAGCCUUUCUGAACUAUAUGUGCCUUGAUGCACUUCUGCACACCUUCAAUUUUUGGGCCCUCGGCGAGCUUCUUCCUACUUUUAAGGAAGCAAGGAAUUUGGUAGCAAGUAUGUAGCUUACUAUAGUGGGUUUCAUCUUUAGCUCUAAUCAGUCUCCCGGAUGACCUUUUUUCUGUGUAAUUUCUUCUUGCUUCAUGUUGUACUAUAUCUGGGUAGGUGCAUGUUGUUAGGUUAGUUAAAUUCUAUUACUAUUCAGCAAUGGCAUGUCUAAUUUUUAACACUCAAAACCUGAACAUGCCUCGUAAUUUUUUUGCUUGCUUGUUUGAAGACGAUAGUUUGAGUGGCAAUCCUCUCUUCAUGACCAGUGGGUACAUUUUUAGUGCUUCUCUCUACUUUUGGUGUUUCCACUCUAUAAUAUUACAGAAAAUGACUCUUAUUAUCCUUUCCGUUUUAGUGGUGUCACUGCUUCGUAGAUGUUUCUCUUGGAGAGAAAGCACAUGGCAUGUUUCAAGAUUCACUUGUUACCAAAUGCAGUGUUCCAGAAAAAGCUGGACUUUCGCUUUUACCAAACAACAUCUAAACUCAGCAUCUCUCAAACAAACAACAAAAUCUCGGUUGAGCAUGUAUGAGGUCACCAUGUAUGAGGGAGUUAGCUUUUCUGAGUAUCCCCGGGCUACCAAACACACCCUAGCGCUUCCUCGACACUCUCCUCAGGUUUGGCCGCGCCUAGAAGAAGAUCGAGGAGCACAUCUGCACCAAGACCAUCGUACAGAUAUCUGAACCUGCACGCUCCCAUUGACUGAAACUUGCUGUGUUGAAUAAAACAUAAGCGGAACAUCUGCAGCCUGGAAAAAAUACAAGCAAAAGCUGUGGGAUCAUGGAGAGAGGUGUUAUAGGAGGUUGAGAUUAGAAGUUGUUGCACAGAUCUGCAAGAUAUGACAUACUCAGAGUAUAGAGAGGAGAUGAUGACCAAUGAGGUAUUGAGGAUGAACAGGGUAGAGUUGCACAGGUGGGGUUGCUGGCCGUAGCUGGAGGCUUCCCUGAUUUGGGUGUGGACAUUACAAAUGCAGCUCUAGAAGUCAUUGGUCGUUGGUGAUGGUGGUUGGCUCGGGUAGGGGGAGCUUUGGGCAUCUGUCACGUCUUCUCGUAUUAUUACAGUUUGAUCAUGAUUGAAUUUCUUCAGCAACCACGGUAGUAAAUUGUUCGCUGUUUGUGUAUGCAUCUUAUGUAGCUAUUGUAAAAUGCUGCUAUGAAAGGAACCGAGUUUUGUCUCCUUAUAUUUUAGGGACCUUCUUCACUUGUUCAAGGACAAUCUACAAAUUAAGGAGAUUAAUAGCCAAGGAAUUUUGAUGUUUGGAGUAACAGAGGGCAUCUCCAAGACUCCAAUGGGGCGAUGCCGUUUGGGUUUGGGUUGCCUGGCGGACGCGAAAAUAACCGCGAGACGCUCAUUUGCAUCGCGGGCACCCAGCGGUCCGACGCAUUUUAGGCAUUCGUGCUUCUUCUUUUCCUUUUUUGAAGAACUCUUCAAUUUCUACAUUGGUUGUAACGAAUCUUUGAAAGAGCAAGUUCAAACGUGAAAGGA